rnacentral:lncRNA from 1 species
UCUAAAUUACUUCCUGGAUUGUAUCAACAACAAGCAACAAGUUGCCAAAUACGUUUUUAAAUGCUACAUUUAAGACUUCCAGGUAUCACUAUAUCAAAUUAUAGUACAAUACUGCUGUAAAACAUCUUAUCUUCAAAAUGGGCGUGGCAAUCUCAUAUCACUGCUAAGGUUAAGAGCUAGAUCAAGCAAUUUCUUAAUUGGUUCAUAUUAUUUCCCAACUUUGGAAUGCAUGACAAUAAAAAUUUAAACACAUUUUAAACACUUUGAUUAUAUUGCCUCAAUCAUAGCUGCACAAAGUAAGGUGAUUCAACUACUUUUUUCUUCUUCGUUUUAUUAUUUAAGGUUAAAAUAAGCUGGAUAUUCUCUAUUUGACCGGCACUUAAAAAAAAGUGCUUUUAGCCGGCACUGAAUAAAACUCAUUGAUGUUAAGUAGAAAAUAAAAAGCUUAAUAAUAUUAAAAUCAUUUAUCACAAUAUCAUGAUAUCAAGCAUUAUGCAGUACAAGCGAAGAUGUGUAACUUAUUUGUAUCCGCCAUGCUAUAAAAAGUGUUAUGUAAAACCACCCAUCUUAAAAACAAUAUUAAAGUUGUUUGUACGAUUUCAAAAGGACACAUGAUUAAUACAUUUGCCUUGCAAAACCAAUUCUUUGCCUUUUUGUUUACUAGCACAAGAUAAAUUUGCCACUCCAAAGUUCAAAUUACACUGGCUUCCUUUGAACUGCAUCAGUGUGCAUAUUUAGGGUUCUUUUUUCUCUUUAUAAAGCGAUAGUCUCAUGCAUUUUCAAUAAUUAAAACAAUUUACAAUAGCCCAUUUGCAAUUACCGAUUUGAUUCUAUUAUGAACACUUUUAAGACUUUUGUUUUUUGUUUCUCUGUCCUAUAAUUUCUCUAUUUAUCUAUUUAUUUAUUGUAAGUGUGUAUGUUGUCAUUUAGUUAUAAUUAACCACGUAAUUAACACUGCCUUAAAGGUUUGGCAUGCCACAAACCAGUUCAACCUACCAUUUUUUAUAAAAUCCUGAUUUCUUGGACUUUUCUUAGAUAACACACAAUGCUUUUGGGUACUCUUUUUUUGAAGACCGAUGACAGUUUGGGUCAAACCUUUGGGCCUUCCACGUGUCUUCAUAUUUGGUGGAAGUAUAUAUGCGAAACACACGAUCCACAAAGUUCAACUGGAAUCCAAUAGGUGUUCUUCUGUGAGCAGUAACGUUUCUUCUUGCAAAACUAGUUUUCGUGAUUUUCGAAUAUUGAACAUUAUCAGUAUCAUUUUCUUUAUUGUCUGUUACAUUUAUAUCAUCAUGUAACAGAAUUUGUGACUGGCAGUGGCGGAUCCAGAAAUUUUCAUAAGUGGGGCCCACUGACUGACCUAAGAGGGGGCCCCCCCAGUCACGCUUCAAUGAUUCCCUAUAUAAGCAACACAUUUUUCCCAAAAAGGGGGGAGGCCUGCCCCCCCCCCCUAAAUCUGCCUCUGACUGGUAUCAUCAAAUAAUCUAUGUGAUGUCCUGACUGUGUUAAUCUUCCAACGAUCUGACACUGCUUCAACAAACAAAUUUUCGUGAUUAACUUCUCUUAGUUUGAGUAUAUGCCUACACGGGAGAAGCACACUUUGAUGAAAGAUACAAGAGUAACUUUUUGAAUUGACCCUCAUUUGGCCUUGGCUUGUUGUAGCUGUCCAUAUAAUCUCUCUUUCUGCUCCAGUUUUACUUCAGACCUGAGUGAAAACUGUUUCAGGAUAUAUGCCCAAGCAUAUGGUGUCACCAACUCUUGAUAUCUAUAUUCAGGUGAAUCAUUCCGGAGAAUGCUGAAACAGUCCUCUUUUGAAAUAUACCACUUGUCUUGAGGUCUCGUUCUGUUCGCAAAGAAUUUAAGGCGAUCAGAAAGUGUUCAGCAAAACUCUGGUAAUGUGGAGUAGUGAUGUGUAGUACAGAUUUUUUAUAAAUAUUUUUUAGUAAAAAAUAUAUUUAGUAAUGUUACAUACAAAUGUGUUUUCAUGCUUUUAAUUAAUAUUAUAAAGUUAUAAAUUAUUUAUUUAUGAACAUCUUCAAUAAUUUUUUUUAUUGUACUAUAUUUUUAAUGCUUGAUAUUAUGAUAAAAUGAUUUUAAAUUAUUAUUAAUCUUUUUAAUGUCAUUAAUCACAUCAAUGAACAGUUUUAUUCAGUGCCGGCUAAAUAGCAAAUUUGCUAAAAAUAGCAGCAUAGGAAUUCAUUUAUUAAUGGAUGCUUACUAAAACUAAAGUCCUUUAUGGAAAAACAGGUGCUGUCAGCUAGAAACUAAAAGGUGUACUUGAAUAGCUCCAUAGUAGAGAUUGUUUCAACUGUGAUACAUUGUAAUUAUAGUCAAUUUAAUUAUUGUCAGUUUGAAGUCUGGUAGUAAUGCAGUAAGGUCAAAUAAAAAAUGAUAUGUGUUUCCUAUUACCCUACCCUCCCUAUGUUUCAAGCUCAAAUACAGCAUAGGGCCUAAAGUUUUUUUUGACUAUUUUCAAUAAGCGCUGUUAAUGUCAGAAUGUCCCUCCCAUAGACUCAAUUAUAGCUGCACAUUUAACAUGUUUAAGGUGAUACAACUAUUUUUACAGUUUUCAUUAUUUAAGGUUGAAAUAUUGUUAAUUGUCAAUGUCAUGCCCUAAGCAACCUUUAACAUGGAACAAACAGGUGCUGUCAGCUGAGUUACUAAAUAACAAACGUAAUGGUGUACUUGAAUAGCUCCAACAUGUCCCAUUUAGUAAAUGUUUUUACAUAUAUAUAUAUAUAUAUGUUUAAGGGCAAUACAUGUAUAUGUCCAGUAUACACAUAGAUACUGGCAAUAAACAUGAUAAAGGCACUGAUUGACUUAAAUCAGAUUCCUCGACAUCUUUAUAUAUCAGGUGGUCCCUGAAGAAAAACAGCUUGAUCCUCAAUACUUCAAAUCCCUUAGCCACCCCUUUUCGAGAAAUCUGUUUAAUUUUAAUAGCUAUUUAGCAGGUUGCAAGCAUCUCCAAGUUAUUGAUGUCUGGUAGUAAUGCAGUAAGGCAAAAUAAUAAAGGAGAGUUUUUCCUAUUAUAUUUUACAUACCAACCCUCCUUAUUUCAUGUAUUUUUUAAGCCCCAAAAAAGCAUACGUACCUUAAAGGAUUUUUUUUUUCAUUUUCAAUAAGUGCUGUUAUUAAUAAUUCUCAGAAUUUCCCUCCCAUAGACUCCAUGUAAAAAAAUGGUAAAAUAUUUAAAAAUUCCUCUAUCUACCUUAAUUUAAAAAAAAAAUCAUGGUAUUUUCCAAGCUUUUAUUUCUGACAAUCUAAGAAAUGAGAAAAUCAUAAAACAUAUAAUUCCUUAAUUCUGAAGGUUUUUUUUGCCUCUGUGUGUUAUAUUCCUCACAAGGGAACACAUUUUUAUCAAAACUAUUGUCCCAUUAUCAUGAUUAUCAUAACAUUAGGACAAUCACUUCAAAGAACAGAGAGAAUCAUAAUUAAUGUACAUUAAGAAUUAAUAAUUUGACCUAAGGAUGCUAAGUCAACUACAAAGAAGCAGGAAUUAAAGCAUGGAUUUAUUUGUCUCGGCUACAUGUAAUAAAUAGACAGAUGAACUACUAAAAUGAAAGUUAAGAUGAUCAAAAUUGAUGAAUGUUAGACUGUAUGAUUUGGAUAUUUGACUUAAAAGAUAAAUAAUAUUCUUAAAAAUGUAAAAACGUUAAUGUGUCUUCUCUUUAACUGUUCUUGUAUGUAUAAACAUGUAUUAUCAUAACAAAAAAUUCGAAUUUUACAGGGCACUUUCUGUAGUCUUAUAUGUGAACUAACUUGACCAACAAUUCUGCUUAUUAUUUCAGAUACUGAAAGAAAAAAAGAAGCUUAACAUCACUUCAAAGACUGUGCUAAUUACAAAAAAGUGGUUACUAAUGAUAUAGUUUAGCUCCAAUCUGUUAGAAGUGCAGAAGUUUAUGACAUUUAGAUUUUCACAAGUAUAGAAAAUCAAUUAUUGAAGCUUAAAUUUCAACGAGAGUGAAAAUAGAACAAUGCUUCCUCCACUUGCUGUAUUUGAUUAUUUCAGGAAACUGUUUACAUCACUUGAAACAUUGUCCAACAGUUCCAACACAGAACUGGACCAAACAAAACAAGUCCAUCUCCGUGCUUUAAACUACCUCGGAAUUUCAUAUGCUUUAGGAUACUCUCUACUGUUAUUUGUGGUGACUUUCUUUGUGACAAUUCCAUUUGCCUACGAAGACGGUUCAGGAAAUCGUGAUGAAGAAUCCAUUUCAUCCAUACGUUAUCUGACAAUUUACAUCUAUUUCAAUUUCAUAGCUAAUUAUGUUAUGUUGCGAUAUGGAGCCAAGAAAUCAAUCUAUUGUACUCCAAGAGAUUUGCCCCUUUACAGUGCCACAACAAGAGAAGACUGGAAGACGUGUAAACAGUGUAAUCAGGAUGUACCAGAAAGAACACAUCAUUGCCCUCUGUGUAAUAUGUGUGUAUUGAAGCGUGACCAUCAUUGUUUCUUUGUAGGAUGCUGCGUUGGCUUUCACAACCAGCGAUAUUUCAUUUGUUGUGCUUUCCAUACCUUGCUUUGCUGUGCAUUAUCAUUUUAUUUCAUGAUGCUGUAUUUGAGUGCCCACUAUGUUACAUUUCUUGGGCCAGAAUUCUUUAAAUACUUUUUACCAUAUGCACUUGUUGUUUGGUUAUUUGGGAGUACCACGUUUGGCAUAUUUUUUUACAUUUUGAUAUUUUAUCUUAACAUAACUACACUUUUAGCUUCAAUAUUUUUCUUUAUAUGGCAGUUUAAUUUAGUUAAGGGGGGUCAGACAAGUUAUGAGUUUGUUAAAGGAAAGAAAACUUACCAAACGAACCUGUUAACAAGUAUUCGAUCAGUGUUUGGUCCAUUCUGGAUUUUAAAUUUCAUAUUUCCAAUGCCAUGUUUUAAGAAUGAAGGAGAUGGAAAAACCUGGAUGAAUGGGAAUACAAAAUAUUUGUAAAAAAUCAUAAACAUGCUGAUAUAUUUAGAAUUAUAUUUCAUAUGGUCUCAAACAUUGAUAAUUACAUGUGUUCAGAUCCACACAUACAUGUAAACCUGUUCAGUACUAUAAUUCAUAUCCUUAAUUUGAAUUUGAAUUUUUUGAAAAUAUGAACAAUUUGUCAAUUAUUCAUUUAAAAAACUUUAUUUAAAAUUUCUUAAAAAGAUAUUUAUUUUUUGUCUGCUGUGUUUAUCAUUAUGUUUAGUUUUAGGAAAUGCAUUUUAUAUAUACAAAAUCUACUUACCUCUAUUGUGUAUAAAACUGACAUCAGAACUACUCACAUCAUUAUAGCUUAAUUGAUUCCCCAAAAUAAUACUACAGAUAGCUUCUAGCUAUGGUUCUCGUUUAUUCUAUAUAUUAUGCAGUGUUAAAAUGAUUUGACAUUUAUUUUUAGAUUUUUACCAGAGAAACAACUACUAGUAGUAAUGCUGUUAAAAAAGAGAGCAAUUGAGUCCCCCCUAAUUGGGACAUUUAAACACCAUGUAAGGAGAUGGGGAGCAAUAACCAUGUUUGUCACUAAAACACUUGAAAUUUUAAUCCUCAGUAUAUUUUCGUUUGAAUGAAAUAUUUAUUAAAUGAAAAACAAUUAAAUAAACAACAGAAAAUGCCUUCAAAUUACCUUCAAAUUACCUUCAAAAACUUUUUUUUUUAAAUCUGUAGAGUUAUCUCCCAUUUAAUUUUAAAACUAUUUGUUCUCUGUUUAAUAAUUCAAAUGUUGCUUCACUGUUAAUACUGUAACGGGAAUGAGUUUUCCCAGGUUCACGGAAUAUUAGAAAACAGAAUACGUCGUUAAUAAUAAUAUAGAUUUAAUAUCAGCCAAAUAAUUUAAGCACAGUUUACAAUGAAUAAUAAUACUUUAAAUGUUUAGAAUGGCGAAAUGAGACAUAAUGGUGGUUACAAACGUAGUCUUAAUAAAAAUAUCAACCUGAAGAAGGUGAUGUUCAGUGUUUUCUUUCUCAGUCAGUUCGUAAGUGCAGAACGCAAAACUAUAGUCUGACGUCAUCAGACCGGCACGGGCCGGUCCUACCGGAAGAAGACCGGUAGGCCCGGUAACCUCAUAACUAGCUACGGCCAGUACGGCAGUUUAGAAGCUAUUAUACUUUUUCAAAGUGGUUUUUAAUAUGAAUAAUUUAUAAGGUAAAACCAACCACCAUUACAAUACUAUUGUCCUUUAGAAAUUUUACAUUAAUUUUAUUGUUGAUAAAAGGAUUAUGUGAACAGACUUCUACUGAAUGAUUGAAUGUUUUAAUUAGAUUUAUUUAUAUUAAUGUUACUCAAA